AGCGGCGGACGGGUGAGUAACGCGUGAGCAAUCUGUCCCAGACAGGGGGAUAACACUUGGAAACAGGUGCUAAUACCGCAUAAGACCACGAGAUCACAUGGUUUCGGGGUAAAAGGAGCAAUCCGGUUUGGGGUGAGCUCGCGUCCGAUUAGCUAGUUGGUGAGGUAACGGCCCACCAAGGCGACGAUCGGUAGCCGACCUGAGAGGGUGAUCGGCCACAUUGGAACUGAGAAACGGUCCAAACUCCUACGGGAGGCAGCAGUGGGGAAUAUUGGGCAAUGGGCGAAAGCCUGACCCAGCAACGCCGCGUGAGGGAAGAAGGUUUUCGGAUUGUAAACCUCUGUCCUCAGGGACGAAGGAAGUGACGGUACCUGAGGAGGAAGCCCCGGCUAACUACGUGCCAGCAGCCGCGGUAAUACGUAGGGGGCAAGCGUUGUCCGGAAUGACUGGGCGUAAAGGGCGUGUAGGCGGCCUGAUAAGUAUGAAGUGAAAGUCCUGCUUUCAAGGUGGGAAUUGCUUUGUAGACUGUCGGGCUUGAGUGCGGAAGAGGUAAGUGGAAUUCCCAGUGUAGCGGUGAAAUGCGUAGAGAUUGGGAGGAACACCAGUGGCGAAGGCGACUUACUGGGCCGUAACUGACGCUGAGGCGCGAAAGCGUGGGGAGCGAACAGGAUUAGAUACCCUGGUAGUCCACGCUGUAAACGAUGAAUGCUAGGUGU
rnacentral:rRNA from 1 species